CUCUCGCUGCAGCCGCUGCCUCCCUCUCUGCUGCCUCCGCUCUAAGUUGUUGCUGGAGUUCUUCGUAUUUUCGUUGAGCCUUGACAAUUUGCUCAACCGUGUUCGCUUGCAUCUGAGCUAUCUGGUCUCUUAACCUCUGAACUUUAGCUUGAGCUUGACUUCCGGAAGGCAUGUAUUGCUGGGAGCCGAAUCCAAAAUAUUGGGCCGGGGUAACACCAGAUCCUUGAAAUCGAAC
rnacentral:lncRNA from 1 species